GGCCAGGUAGCGCUCGGUGCACAUGACGGUCAGCGUGAAGAUGCUGGCGUGCAUGGUGAGCAGGUCGAGGCUGAGCAGGACGCGGCAGCCCAGCUCGCCGAAGUACCAGUCCUGCGCCACCGACGUGCCCACGAUGAACGGGAUGGAGCACAGGUAGAGCAGGUCGGCCAGCGCCAAGCUGGCGAUGGAGCCGGACAAGGGCGCGCCGCGAGCGCAUCGGCCCGAGCGCCACAGCAGCCCCAGAGUGUAGACAUUGCCCACCACGCCCACCACAUACAUGACCAACAGCACCACGCCGAAAGCCCAGGCGGCCGCAGCCUCCCCGCUGCCCGUAGCCCCUGCCGCGGACUCGUUGCCCAGCCCUGCGCUCCAGUUGCGCUCCAUUUCGGGCGCGCGGUCUCCGGGCUAGCGGGACAGGCCGGCAGGCUUCCGCCCAGCGCGCCGCGUGCGGGACAGCCAAUGGCAGAGUCCCCUGCCGAGCCCCUCUCCCUCCCGCGGCGGCCUCGUCGCUGCGCUCUUCUCGAGGCUUGCUGCAGUGCCCGGGGACAAGUCCCGCCCCGCUAGUCUGCAGGUUGCUCCGCCUCGGGUCGGUUUGGUCAUACGCGUGCAUCGGAAGGAAGUCGCGCUCCGUUGCUUGCUUCACCGCGGGACUUACUCCCAAGAGCAUUGCAUAAAUGACAUACAGGUGUACUAACCUGAUUACAAGAUGGGGAACAUUCCAAUUCCCUACUAUGAGGGCACCCGUUCCAUCCUGAUUCCUUGAAGGCUUCUUUCUGGGACCUCGAAAAGAGGUUCUAUCGCUCAAACCCAAGAUAAAAUCUGUGAAGAGAAGCCCAGUGAAUAAUCAAGCUGAAAACUAUCCCCACAGUCACCUAGGACAAGCAAGUUAUGCUGUACAGAAAUUUAGUAGUUCAACACCUCUUUUGGACUUGAGAGAUGAUGAUUCCGUCCUAAAUGAAGGAAAUUCCAUAGCUCCAGGAAGUAGUGAUUCACACUUGCAUGUAAUUGUUUGAUAUCUGCAGGAUUAAAUGGUGCUAAUGCAACAUCAGCAAUCAAACAUAUACCACAGAUUGAGAAUUCAAUUUCAUACCAUCUUAGACAAAACUUAGACAAAACUGUUUGAUACUGUUUUAAUUGUGUUUGUUUUAACAGUUUUAACUUUUUAAUUUUCCCCUGAAAUAUUUUAAUCUUUUAUUGGCUGUUUUUAUUGUUUGUAAACCGCUGUUUACGUUUAUUGUUUGUAAAUGUAAGAGAACUUACGUUUUGGGCAGUAUAGAAAUGUAAUAAAUAAAUACAUACAUACAUACACA